AUGCCUGCCCCCAUUGUUCAACAGGUCAUUCAGAGGUCUCCUAGAGCAGUGGUUCUCAAACUGGGGUCCCCGGACCCCCCGGGGGUCUGCGAGCCGGUGCUUCGGAUCCUCUUCAUCACCAUCAUGUUGUCUGUAGCUGUGCUGCUGCUGCUGGCUGCUGGAUCCAGUGUAAAGUGUGAGCAGCUGACUCAGACAGCCUCUAUAACUCUGCAGUCAGGUCAACGUCUGACCAUCAGCUGUCAGGUCUCUUAUUCUCUGGGCAACUAUCUAACAGCUUGGAUCAGACAGCCUGCAGGGAAAGGACUGGAGUGGAUCGGCAUAGCAGGAGAUGGAUGGACCACAAACUACAAAGAUUCAUUGCAAAACAAGUUCAGUAUCACUUUUGAUACUUCCAGCAGAACAGUGACUCUGAAUGGAGCGAACAUGCAGCCUGAAGACUCUGCUGUGUAUUACUGUGCGAGGCAUCCACAGUGA